ACCUGUUAGAAUCUGCGUCAGAUGGUAGUCAACGAAGCUAAAUUGCCUGGUUGACCACUGCUUUACCUCCAUGUCCAUCGUCCCGUUUCAGCCGCGUUACACUCCUCUUGUCAUAUCCUAUAUGUUUCUUCUCACUCUACUCUUUCUAUUUCUUUUUGCCUUAAUUGUGCUCUUUUAUCGCAUCUCAUUUGUCUAUCUCUGGCCUGUAAGUAUACCGGAAUAAACCCCGCUAUUACCAUAAUCGCAGCCGUGGAAAUCGUUCUACACUCUUAAUGGAAUGGAUCUUUGAGGUCUUUGAAUUAUACUAAUAUUUGUUUUGUAUACUAAUGCACCCGUCCAAACUAGAACCACGUAUAGCAAUUGACUGGUAACUACUGACACUAAUAGUUGUCGUUUUCGCUGUCUCGAGUCUCCUACGUUUGGCAUCAGCCUUGAUUAGGGCUGAUGAUGUGGAGGACACUUUCGCCGCAACCGUUUCCAGGUGUUUUUAUAUCUUCAAACCCGACUUAACUCAACUCUUAGGUAUCGCACUUGUUCCUCAACAACACUCUCUAGAUGUGUCUCUAGUCGUCCCUUAAUAGCUAGCCGACUGUGUUGAGGAGACAUAUGGGUCAAUACGAUGAUGGCUGCUUUAGGGGUUUGCCUCCUUUUCGGAGUAGUACUAAUUUCGCCGUCUUAGGAAAGAAUCUAUGGUUAAAACACUAAUUAAAUAUUUCUAAUAGAAUCUAUGAUCGCCACUAUCUCCUUUAUAACUAUAUCCAGUAUUCCAUCUGGACUUAAAGCCUUACCUAAUGUUAAUUUGGAACUGGCUUCUUUAACUUAUUAU